GGGGGCGUAGCUCAGUCUGGGAGAGCGCUUGAAUGGCAUUCAAGAGGUCAGGGGUUCGAUCCCCCUCGUCUCCACCA
rnacentral:tRNA from 1 species